CUAGAAGUCACCAAGAAGAUGAUGGAGCUGCUGACAGGAGAGGAGUGGGAUUAUUUAGAAGAAGGACACAAGGAUCUCUACAAGGACGUCAUGAUGGACAAUCAGCCGCCCCUCACAUCACCGGAUGGAUCCAGUAAUGGGAAC